rnacentral:rRNA from 1 species
UGCCCGCAAGGGAAUGUAGUGAGAGGUGCUGCAUGGCUGUCGUCAGCUCGUGUUGUGAAAUGUUGGGUUAAGUCUCGCAACGAGCGCAACCCCUAUCGUCUGUUGCCAGCAUUAAGUUGGGCACUCUGACGAGACUGCCUGGGUUAACCAGGAGGAAGGUGGGGAUGACGUCAAGUCCUCAUGGCCCUUACGUCUAGGGCUACACACGUAAUACAAUGGCGCGUACAGAGGGAAGCGAACUCGCAAGGGGGAGCAAAUCUCAAAAAGCGCGCCUCAGUUCGGAUUGGAGUCUGCAACUCGACUCCAUGAAGUUGGAAUCGCUAGUAAUCGGAGAUCAGCACGCUCC